rnacentral:rRNA from 1 species
UACGGAGGGUGCAAGCGUUAUCCGGAAUCAUUGGGUUUAAAGGGUCCGCAGGCGGACUUAUAAGUCAGUGGUGAAAGCCUACAGCUCAACUGUAGAACUGCCAUUGAUACUGUAAGUCUUGAAUAUGUUCGGAGUGGGCGGAAUGUGACAUGUAGCGGUGAAAUGCUUAGAUAUGUCACAGAACACCGAUAGCGAAGGCAGCUCACUAGACCAUUAUUGACGCUCAUGGACGAAAGCGUGGGGAGCAAACAGGAUUAGAUACCCUGGUAGUCCACGCCGUAAACUAUCAAUACUCGUUUUCAGCGAUAUACUGUUGGAGACUAAGCGAAAGUGAUAAGUAUUGCACCUGGGGAGUACGAUCGCAAGGUUGAA